UUGUCCCAGUGAGAAUUGUAAGUUAUUUUCAGAGCUCAACUGAAACGAGUUAUACUGCUUGCAUUUGGCAGAGACUCAAAGGCAGGCAGGGGCAUGAGUUUGCCCUAAUCUGAGGUUGUGGAUGUGGGUAAACUGGGAGUGGGCUUACUAGAAGCAGGACAUCCUCUGUGACUGGUCUGGAGAUCAUUUUGACUUUCUCUGGUUGGUCCUGAGUUGGAAGUGGGGGCAGGGACUAGGGAAGCCAUUAGUUAUUGACCAAGUCCUGACCAUUUGGGGCCAGUCAUUGCAGAGGUUAUAGGUCACAGUUCUAUUUUUAUCCAUGGUCUGGCCAUUGUCCAUAGGAAUAUUCAAGCUCGCAGUCUCUCUCCACUUGGUCAUUUUCUUGCUUUCAAGAUGAGAACCAACUCAUGAACACAUGGAAAUCCAAUAUUCACUGCUUGAGGUCAUAUCCACAGCAAACUAUGGCAAGAUCUUGACCUUUAGAGCACAAUCAUCUGAUGAGAGUAGCUGUGCAGAAAAACCAAGAAGAAAUCUAGACCAAGGCCGUGUCCAUCACUACUUGUGUUAAUGACGGCUCCUCACUACUUGUGCUAAUUUCUAUAUAGGGAAGAGAUAGAGAUAGUAUCCUUUUUUUUUUUUUUUGAGAGAGAGAGAGAGAGAAUUUUAAUAUUUAUUUUUUUAAUUUUCAGCAGACACAACAUCUUUGUUUGUAUGUGGUGCUGAGGAUCGAACUCGGGCCGCAUGUGUGCCAGAGACAGGAUCUCACUGAGUUGCUUAGCACCUCACUUUUGCUGUGGCUGACCUUGAACUCUUGAUCCUCCUGCCUCAGCCUCCUGAGCUGCUGGGAUUACAGGGCUGGGGAUGAAACCCAGGGCCUUGUGCACGCUGGGUUCUUCAGUUUGUUAAAGGGUGAUGCCUGCUACUAAGGACUCCAACUGAGGCCUGCCUGGGCAUAAGUGGGGCCACUUGGGCCCACAACAGCAUGCUCUGUCAGGGGCAUUUGGUGACCAGAAAGAGAAGCUGUU